rnacentral:rRNA from 1 species
UACGUAGGGUGCGAGCGUUAAUCGGAAUUACUGGGCGUAAAGCGUGCGCAGGCGGUUUUGUAAGUCAGAUGUGAAAUCCCCGAGCUCAACUUGGGGAACUGCGUUUGAAACUACAAGACUAGAAUAUGUCAGAGGGGGGGUAGAAUUCCACGUGUAGCAGUGAAAUGACGUAGAGAUGUGGAGGAAUACCAAUGGCGAAGGCAGCCCCCUGGGAUAAUAU